GUGCUACCUCUAAGGCACACCAGGUUCCCCCAGCGUGAUAGCAUCUAAUGUUUGAAGCCUAGGGAAUGCUCUGAUAAUGCAGCUACGCCCUACCCUGAAAGCCUCUUCAAUGCUGUAUAUUUUCUUUAAAAUGUGAAUAUUAGUUUUAUUUUCCUAGUUACUUUAGGCAAUUAUACC